GAUGAACGCUGGCGGCGUGCCUAAUACAUGCAAGUCGAGCGAACGGACGAGAAGCUUGCUUCUCUGAUGUUAGCGGCGGACGGGUGAGUAACACGUGGAUAACCUACCUAUAAGACUGGGAUAACUUCGGGAAACCGGAGCUAAUACCGGAUAAUAUUUUGAACCGCAUGGUUCAAAAGUGAAAGACGGUCUUGCUGUCACUUAUAGAUGGAUCCGCGCUGCAUUAGCUAGUUGGUAAGGUAACGGCUUACCAAGGCAACGAUGCAUAGCCGACCUGAGAGGGUGGUCGGCCGCACUGGAGCUGAGACGCGGUCCAGGCUCCUACGGGAGGGAGCAGUAGGGAAUCUUCCGCAAUGGGCGAAAGCCUGACGGAGCAACGCCGCGUGAGUGAUGAAGGUCUUCGGAUCGUAAAACUCUGUUAUUAGGGAAGAACAUAUGUGUAAGUAACUGUGCACAUCUUGACGGUACCUAAUCAGAAAGCCACGGCUAACUACGUG
rnacentral:rRNA from 1 species